GUAGGCGGUUUGUCGCGUCUGCUGUGAAAGGCCGGAGCUUAACUCCGUGUAUUGCAGUGGGUACGGGCAGACUAGAGUGCAGUAGGGGAGACUGGAAUUCCUGGUGUAGCGGUGGAAUGCGCAGAUAUCAGGAGGAACACCGAUGGCGAAGGCAGGUCUCUGGGCUGUAACUGACGCUGAGAAGCGAAAGCAUGGGGAGCGAACAGGAUUAGAUACCCUGGUAGUCCAUGCCGUAAACGUUGGGCACUAGGUGUGGGGAACAUUCCACGUUUUCCGCGCCGUASCUAACGCAUUAAGUGCCCCGCCUGGGGAGUACGGCCGCAAGGCUAAAACUCAAAGAAAUUGACGGGGGCCCGCACAAGCGGCGGAGCAUGCGGAUUAAUUCGAUGCAACGCGAAGAACCUUACCAAGGCUUGACAUAUACUGGACCGCAUCAGAGAUGGUGUUUCCCUUCGGGGCUGGUAUACAGGUGGUGCAUGGUUGUCGUCAGCUCGUGUCGUGAG
rnacentral:rRNA from 1 species